rnacentral:lncRNA from 1 species
CAUCACUUGAUGUGGCCAUAGGGACUGUAAAAGGUAUCUCACCUACUACCUGCUCUACUCACCCACAGGGCUGGACAAGAGGUGGCCAGGCUCAUCCUAUGUGACCCCUGGUCACACUCAUGACUCACUGGACCGAGAGAGUACACCCAGCCUGGGCAGAGACAGCUGAAUGAGGACAUGACAUGAAAGUCUGGGCUCAUGGCUUCCUCCCACCCGCCACGGCAUGAACCCACAGGAACAACAGUCAUGCUGGCAAAACCAGGGGGAAAGGGGUAGGGCAUGGUUGAUUUACCGACAUACCCUUCCUCAGUUUCAGAGGGGAUGGAAGCUUCCUUCUACCUUGGUGCCCUCUUCUCUGCCCCCGAUGGGGGGGGGAGAUAAAUUCUGGACAAGGCGGGCAUCAGGAAAGAAGUGAGAGCCGCAGAGCCCCACACCCACCCGAAUCUCCAACCUCCAAGCUCUUGUUCCUGUGGCAACACCUCAUGUACUUCGUCUCUACGGAGGAGUAUCUCAAUACAAAGAUAAAGUGGCUCCUACCCUUUGGCACAUUGUGGGGUCUAAUUGACAAGGCAGGGUCUCACUAUGCAGCAAAAGCUGGCUUCACAUUAGAAUCAGUUCACUGGAUCUGCUGGAGCACACCUUUAAUCCCAACACUCGCGAAGCAGAAGCAGGUAGAUCUCUAUGAGUCUGAGGGUCUACAGAGAGUUCCAUGACAGCCAAGACUACACAGAGAAACCCGUCUAGAGGAAGAAAGAAAGAAAGAAAGAAAGAAAGAAAGAAAGAAAGAAAGAAUCUGUUCAUGUGCUUCCUUCCCUUUCCUCCGACCGAUCCGCAACGAGAGCCCUCACCCAGUGGCUGAUGGAAGCAGAGACAGACAUCCACAGAAAUACACUGAGCUGAAAUCUGGAAUUUAGUUGAAGAGAGGGAGGAAUGAAGAGCGAAGGGGUCUGUACCAGGUUGGAGAAACCCACGGGAACAAUUGA